ensembl:lncRNA
GGAAGGAUGGAACUUCACCCAGGCUCACAGCAAGCAGACUUCCUGAUGGUGAGGCCCCACCCUCAGCCUCCAGAGGAUCUUUCUCUCCGCCUGCGUGUUGUCAGAGCAGCUGCCCUGGAAGCACGGCUCUAGACAGUGACCGCACGAGUGCCGGGGCAGGUGGGUGUGGGGUCUGACUCAUGGGAUGUGACUCAGGGUCCUGGGUGUUGGAGUCAGAGAGACCGUGGCGGGGGUGCUCACUUGGAGGGAGGCAUGAGAUGAAAUCACUGGAUCCCUGAAUCACUGGCCUGGAAGCCGCUGCGCCUGCAACAGGCUGUGUGAAGGUAUAUGCAAAACUUUUGCCUCUUGGGGACUUCCCUGGUGGUCCAGUGGUUAAGAAUUUGCCUGCCACUGCAGGCAGGCAAUGCAACUGUUUCGUCAGGAGUCUGGGAAGAUUCCACAUGCCACGGGGCAACUCAGCCCAGGCACCCCAACUACUGAAGCCCUCAUGCCCUGGAGCCUGUGCUCUGCAACAAGAAAAGCCACCGUAAUGAGAAGCCCAAGGACCACAACUAGAAAAACCUACAAGCAGCAACGAAGACCCAGUGCAGUCAUAAAUAAAUAAAAACUCUGCCUCUUCGGUAAUGGUAACAGCUGCCACCACAAUCAUAAUAAUAACAGCAGCCUGUAUAUAGAGUUUUUGUACCAGGCACUCUGAGCAGAGCGCUUGGUGUUGUCUCUAAGGUUGUCAUUAGCCCAUUUUACAGGUGAGGAAAUGGAGAACCAGGGAGGAAUAGGGCAGGAAUCCCUGUCUGCUUAACUCCACAGUUCUUGUUCUGAGUCCUGAGCCCCCAUGGGAGGCUGCAACUUUGAAAGAGCAGUUUUUCUGGUUUCUUUCCUUGAGGUUAAGAUACAUCCUGAGGCCAAGGUUCUGCAACUGGAGACUCCAGGGGUGUCUCUCCCAGGAGACCUGCUAUGUAGUCAGGCUGUCCCAUCCCAUCAGGGUCUGGAAUCUUUGCUGCGUCAAGGCCCCAUGUCAUCAGCACCAGAUCUUCUAAUGACACACUGCAGCCUGGGAAAUUACAGUGCCCAGGAGACUUGUCCCAGAGGCCUUGCUCAGGGUAAUUCCAGAGCAGGAGAGAAUGCUGGGAAUAACAAGAAAAACAGAGUCAGGCUGCCAGCCUUAGGUAAUGGAAUGGUGUGUUGUGGCCAUGGAGCAUGGGGGAUGGAGAAUUUUAUUUUCUAAAACAGAUUUUUCUCCCUAAAUUUUAAAAAUACUGAAAAAUGCAAAAUCAAAAGUAAAAAUGAUACUCAGUCUUAUCAUUUAAAAUUAUGCCUUUCAAUGCCACUCCCCAGAAAUGAUGACUGUUACAGGAGGCUUUGAUUCAUCUCCUUCUGAAGUUGGCCUCUGCUUCUACAUAUGCACAUGGACAAUUUUCAUGAAUGGAGUCAAGUUUUGCAUGUUGGCCUGCAAGCUGCUUCUGUCACUUAAUGAUGCGUCAGAUAUUUCUUGCUUGACUAGUAUAGGAGCUGAACUUAGAGGAUGCUAAUAUUCAUUUAAAAGGUGAGUACCACUUGACACAGAACCGGAGUGAAGGUAUGGAGCAACUGGAACUCUCUUCUGAGGAUGGUGGGGAUAACAAACAAUUGGUUUAACCAUUUUUGGAAAACUGCUUGCCACUGUCUACUAAAGCUAAUCGUACCCGCAUCAGAAAUGCAUACACACAUUCACCAAAAGGCCUGGGCAAGAACAUUCCCAGCAGCACUAUUCAAAUAGCCGCAAUUCAAAAGUCCAUCAAAAAUAGAGUGAGUUUUUAAAAAUGUGAUUUAUUUAUACAGUGGACGUCAUAUACCAAUGGAAAGGAAAGAACCAUAACUGCACACAAGAGCAAAUCUCACAGGUGUGGUGCUCAGCUAAGAAGCCAGACACACAAAACCCAUACGGCAUGAUUCCAUUUGUAUAAAGCUCAAUGUCAGGCCAAAUGAGUCUAUGGUUUUAGACGUCAGGAAGGGGCACAAGAGGAACUUCUGGGGGCUAAAGUGCUGUUUCUUAAUCUUAGUCUACUGGCUAUUUACAUGGGAUGUUCCAUUUGUCAGAAUUCACUGAGCUGUGCGCUUACACUGAAGAUCUGUGUACUUUUCUGUAUGUGUCAUACUUCAGUUAGAGUCUAUUUUCUAAAGAGAGGCUCAAUGGCAUUCAGUCCCUUCCCCUGAAAUCAGUCCUGUUUCCCCUAGGUUUGCCCCUUUCUCUCUCUCUUCCAGAACCUUCGGAGCGCACACAGCAGGUGUGGCAUAUUGCCAUCGGUCCUGUGGGGCAGAGAGAGGAAAAGUCGACCUUCAGGUCCUGGAAGCCCUGGUGGGACCCAGUGGCCAGCCUUGGGAGAGCACUCAGGCCGCACCGCCCCCCAGGCUUGCUCCGAAGGAUUAUCUUGGCUGUUCUGGGUCUCUUGCAAUUCCAUUUGAAUUUUAGAAUCAGCUUUCCAGUUUCUACAAAGAUGUCAGCUGGAACCGCACUGCAUCCGUGUAGAUCACUUUGCGGAGUAGUGCCAUCUUAAUAUUGUGGAGUCUCCUGAUCCAUAAACGUUUUUCCAAUUAUCUAGAUCUUCUUUCAUUUCUUUUACAGUUUUGUAAUUUUCAGGGUAUAAGUUGUUGUGCUUCUUUGGUUAAAUUUACUUCUAAGUAUUUCACUCUUUUUGAUGCUUUUGUAAAUGGAAUUGUUUUCUUCAUUUCCCUUCUGGACGGCUCAUUGAUUUUCAAACAAAUGCUUAUUGUGCUCAGCACCGUGAGAGAUGCUGGGGAUGUAGCAAUGAGCAUAUUAUGAGGAUGAACAAGAUAAUAUAUUAAAGUAUAAUAACG